CAAAUACAAAACAAAAAGAACAUGAAUCUUGUGAAGCUUGUAUAAUGGAGCAGCUGGAGUACAAACUGUAAACACAACCUGAAGAGGAAAAGUGAAAGAGGAGCUUCUUCUUUGUUGGACCGGUUAUGGGAUUUUGUUCUGAUAGAUUUAUGACCAUAUAAUACAUAACAUAAUAUAAUACAUGUUCAAUACAACAACAUUGUCAUUUUCGGUAGAACUAUUGUCCAGUAUUUUUAAUUAGUGUUUGUGGAAAUCUGGCACAAAGUUUCCUGUUGCUGGUGUAGAGUGAAAGGAUCGUGUAAUUACGCGCGUUUCUAUUACAGAUUUGCGCAAAACUUAUAGCAAUAUUUUAUAAAUAUCGAUAAAGUAUUGCGAAAUGACGGCGUUUCCAUUAACUAAUGUUAUGCGACUAAAACGUAACCUUUUGCCUCUCGCGAUAAGUCAUGCGACGGGUUUUGGCUAUAUUCAUUAAAAGCAGGUGUAUGCGUGUAUGUUCACAGAAGCAGCGCGGAGAGCCGCUGGAAGAAACGAGCACUGACUGGAGUCUCCGCUUCAAUCAGCUUCAGUGGCGCUUUUUGCGCAAUUUGGAGGCUAAUGGAAACGCACCUUUAUAUAUGUUUCAUGUCAUUUCACCUGCAAUUUUGUUCAUAAGCUUAAUUAACCUCAUCCUCUGAUGGUUGUGUCACUUCUAAUAAAACUACAGGUCAGAAUCCACACAGACACGUGAUAAAAAACAGAUGAACGCUGGAAAAAAAGAGCAUUUACUGGAAAAUAAAAUAUACUUAAUCUUCUUAUUUUGUUAACAAAAUUUUAUAUACGUAAAUGUAAAUAUUCAGGUCAGAAACCACUUUAUGUUUUGCUUGCUGAUUGCAGCAUAACUUUGUGACUAUCUUUAACUCGUGUAACAAGAAGUCUUAAUCUUUUCCUGUAAUGUGAUCUUAUGUGAUUAGUUAUAUAGCCCUGUCUUGUACCCUGUAUUAGUUUUUUUUCUCUCUUUUAUUUUUUGUUUAUUUGUUCUACAUUGUAACUGAUUUUUUCCUUUGUCUGUAUAAUGUUCUUGAUAAAAAAAUAAAUAAAAAUAAAUCAGAUGAAUGCACCAGCUGUGGGUGUGGCUAUCACCUGAUCACCUGACCACCCAGUUUCACACUGACCUUUCUGACUGGUUCUGCUUUCCUAUAUAAUGUCCACACGUGAAAGCAAAUACUCUCAAACUCACACUGACUCGACACACGAGUCAAGCAGCUGUCUUAAACAUAACUUAACCUGUCAGAUGUUCACUGUGGAUCCUGAGCUCGGCGAGACUUUCUCAUAUUCAGAGUGAUUUUAAUAAUCAUUAAAGCAGCACUGGAUAUCACUACAUGUCCUCUCGUCACAGGUGAUACAUCUGAACAUGAUUUUAAAUUAUUCAUAUGUUUUAAGGGCAGAAACUGUUUAAUUUUGAAUUCUUUAUCUAGUAACGUUUUAAUCAAACAUUUUAAAAUAUAUUAUGGAUUUCAUAUGGAUCACUGCAUUAUUUGAUGUUUUAAUGAAAUACUUUAAUGAAAUUGUUUUGAUUUGAUAAUUGCUGUUAUGCUGCAGUUUCACUCCAGAGAAGAGAUUAAUGAUUAAACACAUGGAGGCUGAAGAGAGAGAGAGAUGAAGACACAAACCAGUGAACACAUGAAUCUUGUGAGAUGCUGGAGCUUGAAUGAUAUUAGACUGAACUUCUCUGCUGAUCCACACACAGCUGUGAAGAGUCCUGAUGUAUCAAAGAGAAACACAUGUCAGGGAAGACACUGAUACAUCCUAAACAGACUGAAACAAAGUUACACUUCAGCCAAAACCGACACUCUUCCUCAGUGUCUCUGACUGGUUUUAAACAUUCUUAACUCAAGAUACAUUUACUGGAGAAGCAAAACAUUUUAAAGUCUUGUUUUCUGAAUAAUGUAGCAAUAUUAAGUGUGUUCAUGCUUAAAACAAGAACAAAUAUCUGGGGUCAGAAAAAUAAUCUUGUUUCCCUUUGUGAAAUUGAUUAUCAGAUAUUUCUUUAAAGCAUGAACUCACUUAAUAUAGAUACAUUAUUCAGACGUCAACUUAAAAUGUCCCCAUCAUGAUUUAAAGAUGUUUAGAUAUUUAUACUUAUACAAGAAAUACCAAGGAAGAACAUAAUUUUUUGUAGCAUGGAAGUACGUUAUAUUCUUUCUUCUUCAUUUGAAUACGUGUCAUUUCUUUACUACGAUUUAUAUUAUCAAUGGACAUUACUUUAAGUCAUCUCUCAUAACAAAUGACUCUUUAUUGUAAUGUAGAAGCAUGCAUCUCCUGUAAAUCUACACUUUGAAAUGAGAAAGCGCUAAACAAACUUCAACUGAAUUUCAUGCUGGCAGCUAUAAUGGUUUCAGUUGAUGCAUCGUUUCAAUCAGCAAUGAUGAAUCAGCAUGUGUGACUGUAUUAAUGGAUUGUGUUUUUAUUUGAUGAAAUCGGCACACUGCAGUCUGUUCUGGACUCUCCAGCUCCUGACAGCAUCUUUAUUUGUGAUGCAUUUCAAUGCAUUUCUCAUCUUUUGAUGUUUACUGUGCCUUCUGUGUUUGGCGUCAUAUUGCUGCUUGCACAUUUUUGUAUUAUAUUUUUGUCCUAAAUCUAAGCUAUUUAAAGUAUUAUUUUACCAUACAUACCACAGUUAAAGGAUGAACUUCCAUCUGUUAUCUGUCUUUUACGUUUUAAUAAGAUGUAAGCACAACACAAUGCAGAAUUUAGAAUUCAUGUUACUGAUGUUUUCUGUAAUAUAUACAUUUUUUCUGUAAUGUUUUUGUUUAUCAUGUUUUUAAAAACUCUACUGUAAUAGCACUGGACUGAAAAUGCAGUGUUGAUUCAGCAUUAAAAGACGCACUUUGUUAUUCAAAUAAAAUCCAUUAAACAAUGUGAUGUGAAUUUUAUUUGAUGUGCAUUACAAACUAUAUUCUGAGCAUCUCAUCAAACACAGCAGAUGAUUUAA
ensembl:lncRNA